rnacentral:rRNA from 1 species
UAGCCAUGGGCAGGUUGAAGGUUGGGUAACACUAACUGGAGGACCGAACCGACUAAUGUUGAAAAAUUAGCGGAUGACCUGUGGCUGGGGGUGAAAGGCCAAUCAAACCGGGAGAUAGCUGGUUCUCCCCGAAAGCUAUUUAGGUAGCGCCUCGUGAAUUCAUCUCCGGGGGUAGAGCACUGUUUCGGCUAGGGGGCCAUCCCGGCUUACCAACCCGAUGCAAACUGCGAAUACCGGAGAAUGUUAUCACGGGAGACACACGGCGGGUGCUAACGUCCGUCGUGAAGAGGGAAACAACCCAGACCGCCAGCUAAGGUCCCAAAGUCAUGGUUAAGUGGGAAACGAUGUGGGAAGGCCCAGACAGCCAGGAUGUUGGCUUAGAAGCAGCCAUCAUUUAAAGAAAGCGUAAUAGCUCACUGGUCGAGUCGGCCUGCGCGGAAGAUGUAACGGGGCUAAACCAUGCACCGAAGCUGCGGCAGCGACACUGUGUGUUGUUGGGUAGGGGAGCGUUCUGUAAGCCUGUGAAGGUGUGUCGUGAGGCAUGCUGGAGGUAUCAGAAGUGCGAAUGCUGACAUAAGUAACGAUAAAGCGGGUGAAAAGCCCGCUCGCCGGAAGACCAAGGGUUCCUGUCCAACGUUAAUCGGGGCAGGGUGAGUCGACCCCUAAGGCGAGGCCGAAAGGCGUAGUCGAUGGGAAACGGGUUAAUAUUCCCGUACUUGGUGUUACUGCGAAGGGGGGACGGAGAAGGCUAUGUUGGCCGGGCGACGGUUGUCCCGGUUUAAGCGUGUAGGUGUGUGUUCCAGGUAAAUCCGGUUCACUUUAACACUGAGGCGUGACGACGAGGCACUACGGUGCUGAAGCAACAAAUGCCCUGCUUCCAGGAAAAGCCUCUAAGCAUCAGGUAACAUCAAAUCGUACCCCAAACCGACACAGGUGGUCAGGUAGAGAAUACCAAGGCGCUUGAGAGAACUCGGGUGAAGGAACUAGGCAAAAUGGUGCCGUAACUUCGGGAGAAGGCACGCUGACACGUAGGUGAAGUGAUUUACUCAUGGAGCUGAAGUCAGUCGAAGAUACCAGCUGGCUGCAACUGUUUAUUAAAAACACAGCACUGUGCAAACACGAAAGUGGACGUAUACGGUGUGACGCCUGCCCGGUGCCGGAAGGUUAAUUGAUGGGGUCAGCGCAAGCGAAGCUCCUGAUCGAAGCCCCGGUAAACGGCGGCCGUAACUAUAACGGUCCUAAGGUAGCGAAAUUCCUUGUCGGGUAAGUUCCGACCUGCACGAAUGGCGUAAUGAUGGCCAGGCUGUCUCCACCCGAGACUCAGUGAAAUUGAACUCGCUGUGAAGAUGCAGUGUACCCGCGGCAAGACGGAAAGACCCCGUGAACCUUUACUAUAGCUUGACACUGAACAUUGAGCCUUGAUGUGUAGGAUAGGUGGGAGGCUUUGAAGUGUGGACGCCAGUCUGCAUGGAGCCGACCUUGAAAUACCACCCUUUAAUGUUUGAUGUUCUAACGUGGACCCGUUACCCGGGUUGCGGACAGUGUCUGGUGGGUAGUUUGACUGGGGCGGUCUCCUCCUAAAGAGUAACGGAGGAGCACGAAGGUUGGCUAAUCCUGGUCGGACAUCAGGAGGUUAGUGCAAUGGCAUAAGCCAGCUUGACUGCGAGCGUGACGGCGCGAGCAGGUGCGAAAGCAGGUCAUAGUGAUCCGGUGGUUCUGAAUGGAAGGGCCAUCGCUCAACGGAUAAAAGGUACUCCGGGGAUAACAGGCUGAUACCGCCCAAGAGUUCAUAUCGACGGCGGUGUUUGGCACCUCGAUGUCGGCUCAUCACAUCCUGGGGCUGAAGUAGGUCCCAAGGGUAUGGCUGUUCGCCAUUUAAAGUGGUACGCGAGCUGGGUUUAGAACGUCGUGAGACAGUUCGGUCCCUAUCUGCCGUGGGCGCUGGAGAACUGAGGGGGGCUGCUCCUAGUACGAGAGGACCGGAGUGGACGCAUCACUGGUGUUCGGGUUGUCAUGCCAAUGGCACUGCCCGGUAGCUAAAUGCGGAAGAGAUAAGUGCUGAAAGCAUCUAAGCACGAAACUUGCCCCGAG